CAUGACACCCAUCAGACUAUAUGCAGGGGGCGCGGAUGAGCUCUGAGGCAACAAUCGAUGGCUACCGAUGUCGGCACAAUUAAUCGAUGCCCUGAUCCCAUUUAGUGCGGCCAUCGAUGGUUUUAACGUCCCAGUUUCUGCACAUGCGUUGUGGCGCAGCCGGACAUGGUGUUCUGAGCUCUCAGUGACGCGGCCGCCGGCGCGGCUCCAUGACGUCAUUUUUGAGGGACGGGGUCGCGACGGAUGGACGGCGCCAAGGUAGACCUCAGACAGGUAUAAAGAAACAGAAUUUGAAGGCAGAUAACAACCACUUGGCCCAUCUAGUCUGCAAGACAGAUAGAUGGCUAUGAGAUAGAGUAAUAAAUAUCAAAUAUAAGAGAUAGAAAAAGCAGUAAAACAUAGA